AGUGAUUAAACGUUCUAUUUUUUUUGGGUACAUGAAAAUUUUGGGAACAUGUAAAUUUCCAUUUUUCCUCUUUCUUUUCCUAAUUCACAAACCCUCUCCUAAUUCACUCCUAAUUCACAAACCCUCUUUCUUUUGGUUUCAAUUCCCUCUGCUCAUCCCCACAACACAAUUCUUAAAUCAGCCCUCUCUUAUUUUCACACAUAAAUUAGGAUUGAUUAUCGUACAAUCUCGUCAUCAUAGUCCGAUUACAAUUCCUUGUAGGCGAGUUGAAAUUGCUUGAAUCACAGUUUACAUUUCUUUCGUCAUCAUAGUUUGUCGUCAAUUCUUUGUUUGCUCUCAACACUAGUGAACAAGGACAUCUUAUUGGAGGGAAAAGGAACAGAAAAGGAAAAGGAUUUACAUUAGAUUUCCAAAGUCUGAAGCAAGCUCAUAGAUAUAUUGUCUUCAAUUGCGACAAUGCAACAGUUAAAACAUACAUCAAAGAACAUCAGAUUUGGGUGAAUAGCCAAGGUCGAAAGCGUAGAUGGAAUAGUGCACAAAGUCAUAGCAGAGAUUUUAUUGAUUGGUUUUUUGAAAAAGUACAAAGGGAGCUGGUUAAUGGGGAACUUUUUUGGUUGGCUAAGGGUCCUAAUCCCAAGGCCAGGAGGUACACUGGGUAUUUUAUCAAUGGUUAUAGGUUUUACACUAGAGAACGUGAUUCACGAUUAAAGACUCAAAAUAGUGGAGUGACUUUAACAGCUUUAACUACUAGUUUUGCCAGUUCAAGGGAUCAAAAUCCCGUCGACGGAGAUGUUACCUACUAUGGUGCAAUAUAAGAAAUUUUUGAGUUGGACUUUUGGUCUCAAUUCAGCGUUGCGUUAUUUAAGUGCGAUUGGUUUCUUGGUGAUAUUGAUGAGUUUGGGCUUACAUAUGUCAAUUUCAAGAAGAAAUGUUCCAAAGAUGAUCCAUUCGUAUAGGCUUCUCAGGUUCAUCAAGUAUACUAUUCCCAAGACCCAUUAAAAAAAGAUAUUUAAUACGUCCUGAAAAGGGUUCCAAGAGACCUUUUUUACUUUGAGGAAGCACUGAAUGAGGAAACAUAUUGGGAGGAGCCUACUGGUUCUAAUAACAUGCCUUCUUUCGAUGCUAAUCAUAUUCAUGUAGGAGCUGGUGGUGGUGAAGUGCGUGCUGUGAACAUAGAUGAUUUAUCACAGGAUGUUAAUAACCAUGAAGAUGAUGUUGACUAUGAUGAUACAGAUUGGGAUUGGAUGGAUGCAACUGAUGAUAUUCCAGCUCAUGAGCCAUAGGAUUAUUAAUGAAUCUUGAGCAAUUGUUUUUAUUAUAUUAUACUCUGUUUUAUGUAUUUUGUUUUUAUUAUAUUAUACUCUGUUUUAUGUAUUAGGCUUGCUGUUUGAACAUUUGAUUUGGCUUAUUUAGUAAUAAUUAUUUAUCAUCUUUAGUGAAUAUAUUAGCCUUUUCUAAUUUUUUUUUAUCAUCUUUAGUAGUAAUUAUUUAUCCUUAGUGAAUAUAUUAGCCUUAUCUAAUUUUUAUUCCCAAAACUUGAGUAUCCCAAAUCCUGAAUAUAUUAGCUGAAUGUCAGGUAUCAGAUAUUGUACUAAUAAAUUUUUUAGUAUUAACUAUGUGUUAUAUUUGAAAAAAAUAUGUCCGACUAUUUGUUGUAAGUGCUAUUUGUCUAAACUUUUUUUUUCCACUAACUGUUUAUAAUAUUUGUUUGCAGAAUGACGAAUAAUGGAAGUAAGAAGCCUGAAAUUGCCUCAAAGUCCACCUUAGCACCUUAUGAAAAAGUAAGGUCCAUGACUAUAGAAAGAAAUGCCCAGAGGAUUAGAGAAUUAGGGCUCGACAAGAUUGCUCAACAAUUGUUGGAAAAAAAUAAGAACUUUGCAAAAGGAAAGGAGAAUGUGAAUUCUAAUGUAGAUGAUCAAGACUAUGUGCCUGAUGAAGAAAAUUGUGACCUUGAUGAGGAGCUUGAGAUGUCUCGAGAAGCAACAACCUCUAUACCUAAGAAGAAGGCAAGAACUAGAGAGCAACCACCUAGGAAGAAUAAGAAGCAGCCAUUGUACCCAUCUAUGGCAAUGGAAAAUUUCCUUGUUGCUCAAAAUCAAAUGGAUCCAGCUGAAGUACGAUAAAUAGAGCAAGAUGUACAGCAAUUGGAGCAAGAUCGACAAAGAUCUAAGCGUCUGCUUUCGACCAUUGUUCCACUAGAAAGCCAAGGAGAAAGUUUUUCCACACAAGUUCCUAAGAAGAAAGGGCGCGGUCCAACAAAUUUGUUUGAUGUCCAUGCUCGCAAAUGGGAAGAUCGCGUAGCUAUCUAUUGUAAUGACAAAGGCCAAGCUAUCGGGCCUGAAAAGGCUAGGAAAGAGCUAACUAGAUUCUUAGGAACUAUUGCUCAUGAUUAUAAUUGGGCUCCCUUGACAUACACAAAUUGGAAACAAGUUCCAAACAAGGAGAAAAUCUGGGAAUUUAUGAUUAGCAAGUACGUCCUUCCAGUUGAAGCUAAGGAUUAGGUAAUGGAGACUCUUGAUCAAUCUUGGAGAGGAUUCAAAUGUCGCCUCAAAAGAGAUCAUUAUUAUAUGUAUGACCCUUAUGAAGAGAGAUUGAAGCAUCCUCCUGAAAGAGUGCCUGAAGCACAUUACAAAACACUUUUUAGCUUAUUGGGGGACACCAAUAGCAAAGAAAACCAGUUUGCAGAAUUCUGAAAAUCGGCUUGAACAAGACAACAUACAUACAACUCGUCCCGUUUCUUUUGCCAUGAAACAUGAGCAGUUGCUACGGAAAGAUGGUGUGGCACCAUCAAAAAGAAAAAUGUUUGAAGAGACUCGACGGCGAAAGGAGGGAAGAACCUAUGACCGACCUUAUGAUGAUACACAACAAAAGAUACAAGCAAUGAGGGAAUUGGAAGCUUCUCAAGAUGAUCAGAGUGGUGAACCUGUUAAGGACCCAUUUGAUGAAGUUAUGAGAAACAUACGUCGAGGUAUAGAAUUAUUACAAGGACUAGGUGUCACUCGCAAGAAGCGAAAAGAUAAAGGACCUGGUACCUCUUUGAUUCUACCAGAUUAGGUUAUGGAGUCUAUUAAAAGUGUUGUAACUGCUGAUGUUCAAAAGGAUAUAAAUGCUGAAAUUGAAGAAUUUGCCAAGGAAAAAGAAGUUCAUGCUGCAAAAGUUGCUGCACAAGAAGCUGAGAUAAAGAGGAAGACUAAGGAGCUUGAAUCUAAGACCUUAAAACUGCAAGAGAUACGCAUGGAUUUUGAAAAUCAGCAAGGAAAUAUAACUCUUGAUGCAAUAAUAUCAGCACUUGCACAACUAUGACAAAAAGAUCCUAGCUUAACUCCAGAAAUUAUUGCAAAAGCUAUCGUUUCAACGACUACAAAUGAUGCAUAAACUAUAUUAUUUAAGAUUAUGAACAGGAGACUAUAUAUAUCCAAGUAUGAAGUCAUCCAUCAACCAUCUAAAUAUUUAUUGGACUUUGCACAAAAAUAUGAGAAUGGUUUUUGAAGAUAAAUUUUUAGAAUUUGGUUUUGGAAUUUUAAUUAGUUUGAUGUAUGAAAAAUUUAGAUCGAAUGUUUUUGCUGGCUGUAAUAAGUAUUUAGCUUAUCAUUUAGAAUUAAUUUGAAUUAACUACGGGUAACUUUUUAUGGAGAACUUUCAAAGCAUAAUAUUAGUUUAUUGAUCAUAUG